CCUACGGGUGGCAGCAGUGAGGAAUAUUGGUCAAUGGGCGAGAGCCUGAACCAGCCAAGUCGCGUGAAGGAUGACGGCCCUACGGGUUGUAAACUUCUUUUGUCAGGGAGCAAUUGAGUCCACGUGUGGGCUUAGCGAGGGUACCUGCAGAAAAGGCAUCGGCUAACUCCGUGCCACCAGCCGGGGUAAUACGGAGAAUGCGAGCGUUAUCCGGAUUUAUUGGGUUUAAGGGGUGCGUAGGCGGAAUAUCAAGUCAGCGGUAAAAAUUCGGGGCUCAACCCCGUCGUGCCGUUGAGACUGAUGGUCUUGAGUGGGCGAGAAGUAGGCGGAAUGCGUGGUGUAGCGGUGAAAUGCAUAGAUAUCACGCAGAACUCCGAUUGCGAAGGCAGCAUACCGGCGCCCAACUGACGCUGAAGCACGAAAGCGUGGGUAUCGAACAGGAUUAGAUACCCCUGUAGUC
rnacentral:rRNA from 1 species